rnacentral:rRNA from 1 species
UGGAUCCAGACUUUGAUUAUGGCUCAGGACGAACGCUGGCGGCGUGCUUAACACAUGCAAGUCGAACGGAGAACUUAUUUCGGUAAGUUCUUAGUGGCGAACGGGUGAGUAACGCGUGGGCAACCUGCCCUCCAGUUGGGGACAACAUUCCGAAAGGGAUGCUAAUACCGAAUGUGCUCCCUCCUCCGCAUGGAGGAGGGAGGAAAGAUGGCCUCUGCUUGCAAGCUAUCGCUGGAAGAUGGGCCCGCGUCUGAUUAGCUAGUUGGUGGGGUAACGGCUCACCAAGGCGAUGAUCAGUAGCCGGUCUGAGAGGAUGAACGGCCACAUUGGGACUGAGACACGGCCCAAACUCCUACGGGAGGCAGCAGUGGGGAAUCUUCCGCAAUGGACGAAAGUCUGACGGAGCAACGCCGCGUGAGUGAUGAAGGUCUUCGGAUUGUAAAACUCUGUUGUUAGGGACGAAAGCACCGUGUUCGAACAGGUCAUGGUGUUGACGGUACCUAACGAGGAAGCCACGGCUAACUACGUGCCAGCAGCCGCGGUAAUACGUAGGUGGCAAGCGUUGUCCGGAAUUAUUGGGCGUAAAGAGCAUGUAGGCGGGCUUUUAAGUCUGACGUGAAAAUGCGGGGCUUAACCCCGUAUGGCGUUGGAUGCUGGAAGUCUUGAGUGCAGGAGAGGAAAGGGGAACUCCCAGUGUAGCGGUGAAAUGCGUAGAUAUUGGGAGGAACACCAGUGGCGAAGGCGCCUUUCUGGACUGUGUCUGACGCUGAGAUGCGAAAGCCAGGGUAGCAAACGGGAUUAGAUACCCCGGUAGUCCUGGCCGUAAACGAUGGAUACUAGGUGUAGGAGGUAUCGACCCCUUCUGUGCCGGAGUUAACGCAAUAAGUAUCCCGCCUGGGGACUACGAUCGCAAGAUUGCAACUCAAAUGAAUUGACGGA